CCCUUAGAUGUCCGGGGCCGCACGCGCGCUACACUGAAGGAAUCAGCGUGGCUUUCUCCCUGACCCGAAAGGGUUGGGAAACCCGUUGAAUCUCCUUCGUGAUAGGGAUUGGGGCUUGAAAUUGUUCCCCAUGAACGAGGAAUUCCCAGUAAGCGCGAGUCAUAAGCUCGCGUUGAUUACGUCCCUGCCCUUUGUACACACCGCCCGUCGCUACUACCGAUUGAACGGUUUAGUGAGGGCCUCGGAUUGGUCUCGGCCCGCUCUUUACCGGGCGGCGCCGUUGGUCGAGAAGACGCUCGAACUUGAUCGUUAGAGGAAGUAAAAGUCGUAACA
rnacentral:rRNA from 1 species